rnacentral:rRNA from 1 species
AUACCAGCUCUCCGAGUGGUGUGGAUGUUUAUUGGGCCUAAAGCAUCCGUAGCUGGCCAAGUUAGUCCCCUGUUAAAUCCACCGAUUUAAUCGUUGGUGUGCGGGGGAUACUGCUCGGCUAGGGGACGGGAGAGGCAGACGGUAUUUCCGGGGUAGGGGUGAAAUCCUAUAAUCCCGGGAGGACCACCAGUGGCGAAGGCUGUCUGCUAGAACGCGCCCGACGGUGAGGGAUGAAAGCUGGGGGAGCGAACCGGAUUAGAUACCCGGGUAGUCCCAGCUGUAAACGAUGCAGGCUAGGUGUUUGGACGGCCACGUGCCGUUCUAGUGCCGCAGGGAAGCCGUUAAGCCUGCCGCCUGGGGAGUACGGUCGCAAGGCUGAA